rnacentral:tRNA from 1 species
CAGAAAAUAGUUUAUUUAAAAUAAUGCUUUUGGGAAGCAUAGACGGAAUUUAUUUCUUUUUCUGA